rnacentral:lncRNA from 1 species
UCCACGUAGCUGUCUGGUCUGAAAUUUUAUAGCCCGAUUUUGGAUCCAAUUCUGGAUCCAUCCCUGAGUGGUAACAAGACAUUAGUCGAGUUAUACAAAUUGCAUAAAAAAGAUUUCUUCGUGUUACCUUGGCUAGAGAGUAAGCCAAUACAGAACUUGUUACACGGGUUCCAAUAGCAACAACAUCUAGUCCUCCAUCUUCCUGGGAUACGUACUUUUCAGAACAAUUCAGCAAAGACCAUGGGAUUUUCACUUUUGCGAGGCAGUUAGAACUAAAAACAGAAAAAUGGAAUGUAAAAAUGAAGAUGAAGAUGAAGAUGAAUCAGCCUCUAAUUUUGUGUAAAAUGAGAAAACAACUUAU